UGGUGGAGUAGUGGAGUGUAUUAGUGUAUUAGUGGUGUGGAGUAGUGGAGUGUCUAGUGGAGUGUAGUGGUGGAGUGUAGUAGUGGGGAAGUGUAGUAGUGGAGUGUGGAAGUGGAGUGGAGUAGUGGAGUGUAUUAGGGGAGUGUAGUAGUGGAGUAGUGGUGUGGAGUAGUGGUGUGGAGUAGUGGAGUGUCUAGGGGAGUGUAGUAGUGGAGUGUCUGGUGGUGUGUAGUAGUGGAGUGUAGUAGUGGUGUGUCUAGUAUAGUGUAGUAGUGGUGUGUCUAGUAUAGUGUAGUGGUGGAGUGUAGUAGUGGUGUGUAUAGUGGAGUGGAGUAGUGGUGUGGAGUAGUGGAGUGGAGUAGUGGUGUGGAGUAGUGGUGUGGAGUAGUGGUGUGUCUAGUAUAGUGUAGGCGUGGUGUGUCUAGUAUAGUGUAGUGGUGGAGUGGAGUAGUGGAGUGGAGUGUAGUAGUGGAGUGUAGUAGUGGAGUGUAGUAGUGGUGUGGAGUAGUGGUGUGGAGUAGUGGUGUGUCUAGUAUAGUGUAGUAGUGGUGUGUCUAGUAUAGUGUAGUGGUGGAGUGGAGUAGUGGUGUGGAGUAGUGGUGUGUCUAGUAUAGUGUAGUGGUGGAGUGUAGGAGUGGAGUGGAGUGUAGUAGUGUAGUGGAGUGGAGUAGUGGAGUGGAGUAGUGGUGUGGAGUAGUGGAGUAGUGGAGUGUCUGGAGUGUAGUAGUGGAGUGUAGUAGUGGUGUGGAGUAGUGGAGUGUCUAGGGGAGUGUAGUAGUGGUGGAGUGGAGUAGUAGAGUGUCUAGGGGAGUGGAGUAGUGGAGUGUAGUAGUGGAGUAGUGGAGUGUCUAGUGGAGUGGAGUAGUGGUGGAGUGUAGUAGUGGAGUGUAGUAGUGGAGUGUCUAGGGGAGUGUAGUAGUGGUGGAGUGGAGUAGUGGAGUGUCUAGGGGAGUGUAGUAGUGGAGUAGUGGAGUGUAGUAGUGGAGUAGUGGAGUGUCUAGUGGAGUGGAGUAGUGGUGGAGUGUAGUAGUGGAGUUUAUAGGGCAGGAUAUCUCCUAGUAGUGUAGUGUGUUUGGAUCUAUCGAGAAUGAUAUAUAAUAUAAUAAUAUAUGCCAUUUAGCAGACACUUUUAUCCAAUGCGACUUACGACAGUGGGAUCGAACCGACAACUCUGGUCAUGCUAUUACCAUGCUCUGGGACACAUAAUGUUUUCAAGCUUUUGGCCUCAUGUUUGGACCAAGUACAUUGUAGAUGUAUGAGGAAAGCAUUGCUGUACCUCAGUAUAUUGAUAUGAUGUCCUGUAGAUCUCUGAAACUCUUACACACAAAACACCCACUCAAUGCCGCUUUGCCUCUGGGCAGGGUUUGUGGGCAGAAUCAACUAUGCAAUUCAAUGAAAUAUUCA
rnacentral:lncRNA from 1 species